rnacentral:misc_RNA from 1 species
CUGGAAACAACUUAUUUUUCGAUAGUUUCAAUGGUUAACUGUCUGCAAAUCAAUGUGAUAACUGCCGGCAAAUUAAUAUGAAGCUCGAAGUUAACAUCUCUAAGUAGCAUGUUAUGGAAAUUACAUUUGUAACUAAGCAAAAAAUUUAUAACUAUGCAUGUAGUCGCACCACCAAAGUAAAAUAUGUGGAGUUUCUCCCAUGGAAAUUCGUCGAAAGCUUCUAAAUAACGACACGUUAAACUACAGAUCGAUGGUGAGCAAUUCAUAGUUUACUGGAGACCUCAAGUGUGAACAUAUCCCCACCUCAAGAAAUCACACAGCUUUCACUUUCCGGGAUGGAGGACGUCGGAAUAGACUGAUAAGAUCGUCAAGACCCCUGGUGGUGAUAACGAGAAAACUGAAAAGUGUUAUCAAGUAUGAUCCAAGAACCAACAGCACGAGCAAGUCAAAAGUCACGCUCGCAACCUGAUAUACAUGUAAUCUGCCACUAAUUGAAUCAUAAAAAGUGAAAGUCUCGUCUAGCGUCUCAUGCUGUACAUUCACCUCAGCAGUAUGAUCAGCUAAUUCCUUUUGCAGUGCCAUGAUAAGUGGGUCACUCUUUGAAAGAAAAGGUGCCACUCGAGAGGUAGUAGACAAAAGAUCCAGCCAGGACCGUACAUAGGAAGGAUUGACAGCUAAACUACCAUCGUCUGCAAAUAUAUUUGUGCCUUUUCCUUCCUGGCUGUAUAUAUGUCUUGCUACACUUUCAGCAACAAGCUUGACACUUCGAAUGAUGGAGGCUUCACUAACAGAACGUCUGUUAUCAGACAAACUUCCAGUGCCUUCUAACAAUUCAGGUGCAGUAGAAAGCUCAGAAAUUGUUGCUGCAGUGACUCGCAGCCUUGAAAACUGCUCAUGCUCCCAGGCUACUCGAGGACUGGAGAUGUUUAUUUUUUUGUGCUUAAGACCAACUUGAAGCCCCGAUUCUUCUGCUACACUGGAGAAACCCUGAAAUAUUUGUUGUAUGUAUGUGUUUUCAGGAGGUUUAGAAA